GACGAACGCUGGCGGCGUGCCUAAUACAUGCAAGUAGAACGCAGUUGCGAACGGGUGAGUAAGGAGUAGGUAACUGCCUGGUAGUGGGGGAUAACUCUUGGAAAAGAUAGCUAAUAACGCAUACUACCAUACGGACCUGGGUUGUAUUAGCUAGUUGGUGGGGUAACGGCUCACCAAGGCAACGAUACAUAGCCGACCUGAGAGGGUGAUCGGCCACACUGGGACUGAGACACGGCCCAGACUCCUACGGGAGGCAGCAGUAGGGAAUCUUCGGCAAUGGACGGAAGUCUGACCGAGCAACGCCGCGUGAGUGAAGAAGGUUUUCGGAUCGUAAAGCUCUGUUGUAAGAGAAGCGGUAUCUUACCAGAAAGGGACGGCUAACUACGUGCCAGCCGCCGCGGUAAUAC
rnacentral:rRNA from 1 species